GGAAGGAUCAUUGUCGAAAGCCUCGUAGUAGAAAGACUGUUAACCUGUACCAAUACACGAUUCAAGCGUCGUGGCCAUCCUCUUGGUUUGCCCACGAUGAACAAAAACUCCGGCGCAGCAGCGCCAAGGAUUUUCACGAUGAGAAUGCAACCUCGUAGAGCUUUAUUUCGCUGCUUGUGGGGUUGGCAUCCUUUUAACUAAAUGACUCUCGGCAAUGGAUAUCUCGGCUCUUGCAUCGAUGAAGAACGUAGCGAAAUGCGAUACUUGGUGUGAAUUGCAGAAUCCCGUGAACCAUCGAAACUUUGAACGCAAGUUGCGCCUCAAGCCGUUAGGUUGAGGGCACGUUUGCUUGGGUGUCAUUUGUUAUGUCUCCCCUCCUGUGUGGUGUGGGAGUAGAUUGUGGCCUCCUGGGCCCUUCCUUGGGUGUGGUUGGCUGAAAAUGUUGUCCUCGAUUUUGUUGAUGUCUUGGUGUGCGGUGGAUGUACCAAGUGUGCAUAAUUGCCAGCCUUGCUUGACUUCGUUGUGGCCUUUUGAUCCUUAGAAGCUGUCGGUGUGGGCUCUUUGAUUGCGACCCC
rnacentral:rRNA from 1 species